rnacentral:misc_RNA from 1 species
GAUGAAGAACGCAGCGAAAUGCGAUAAGUAAUGUGAAUUGCAGAAUUCAGUGAAUCAUCGAAUCUUUGAACGCACAUUGCGCCCCCUGGAAUUCCGGGGGCAUGCCUAUUCGAGCGUCUCAGGGACGAACCCUCGCGCGGGUGUACGCGCGGUCGUGGCUGCGGUGGCGUGCCCGAGGCGGCGGCCACCGCGCUGGAAUCCAUGGGCGGACGCCUGCCGCGUGGCCGAGCGUGAUAUGACGCAUUGGCGCUCGCACGCGGAGAGGCUGCCAGCCCUGGCCCGUCUGUCGGGCGGGGGAGAGCAAGACACGUGAACUCCUCGAAUCAGGUAGGGAUACCCGCUGAACUUAAGCAUAUCAAUAAGCGGAGGA